CGACGGCGGUGAUCCGGGGCAGGGCUGUGACGGCAGCUGGCCGGGGACGGUCGCUGGACGGGGCGACGGCGGCGCGCCGGGGCUUCGACGGCGGCGUGCGAGGCGGGGGCCUUGGGGGCCGGAGCAGUGGGGCGUUGGAGGGUGGACUAGAUCGGGACGGCCGGACGAGAUCGGGAGGGCAGGACGGGAGGUAGAUCGGGAGAGAGAGGAGGGUGCUGGGACGGUCGGAUGAGGAAACUUCAAUCUUUUUCUUUUUUUGGAGAUGUAGGAAACUCGAAUGAUCUGAUGACAGGAAAAGCUACUUUAUGAAUAACCAUUGCAAAAGCAUAUGACAUUUUCUGGACCUAAGGUCAAAAGAGCUAGAUAAAAUCUAAAUAUAAUACCAAGUAAUUAUCACCGUAAGACAUUUUCACUUUUUGUGGAUUUUUUUUUUCUACUUUUGAAUGGCUAAAAUACCAAAUUGUGGCCUGUUCGAUUAGAAGUAAAAGCACUGUACAAGGGGGACCAACGAGAUCCCCGGGUGAUUGGGUGGGGGGGGGCAAGCAAAAGAAAAAACCCUCCUGGGUCCGGCGAGCACGUCCUAACCCUACCCUGGUAGUCCUCCCAGAUCAAAUAGGCCACGUGAAGCAUGGACGAGGCUCGAAUGAUCCUCCUAUUGCACUCCUCCCAAAUCCUCCACCAAGUGUAGAUGAGAUAGACGCUCAAGUUUCUUUUCUCUCGCUCAGGGAGAUCACGAAUGGCCCCAUCCCAAAGCUCAUUGAUGGAGUCGCACGCCGGAAUUUAACAAACAAAAUCAAAUCAUGAAUUUUAGCAGAACUUCUAACAAUUUCUACUAGUAGCUACACUAUUAAAAUCGAUGGACCAGUUGUACUGACUCGACAAAAUAUAUCAUUGAA
rnacentral:lncRNA from 1 species